rnacentral:rRNA from 1 species
CACACCGCCCGUCACACCAUGGGAGUUGGCUGCACCAGAAGCCGGUAGUCUAACCGCAAGGGGGACGCCGUCCAUGGUGUGGUCAAUGACUGGGGUG